rnacentral:misc_RNA from 1 species
GAUGAAGAACGUAGCGAAAUGCGAUACUUGGUGUGAAUUGCAGAAUCCCGUGAACCAUCGAGUCUUUGAACGCAAGUUGCGCCCGAAGCCAUCAGGUUGAGGGCACGUCUGCCUGGGCGUCACAUAUCGUUGCCCAAUGCCUAUUGCAGUGCAAUAGGAAUUUCUAGGGCGAAUGAUGGCUUCCCGUGAGCGUUGUUGCCUCGCGGUUGGUUGAAAAUCGAGUCCUUGGUAGGGUGUGCCAUGGUAGAUGGUGGUCGAGUUAGAACGAUACCGAUCAUGUGCAUGCUCCCCAAAAUAUGGCCUCUAUGACCCACACGCGUCUUUUGACGCUCAUGACGAGACCUCAGGUCAGUCGGGGCUACCCGCUGAAAUUAAGCAUAUCAAUAAGCGGAGGA